rnacentral:rRNA from 1 species
GACGAACGCUGGCGGCGUGCCUAAUACAUGCAAGUCGAACGCAGUGGGGACGGGUGAGUAACACGUGGGUAACCUCCCAUCAGAGGGGAUAAAACUUGGAAACAGGUGCUAAACCCAUACUGAUGGAUGGACCCGCGGUGCAUUAGCUAGUUGGUGGGGUAACGGCUCACCAAGGCCACGAUGCAUAGGCGAGGUGAGAGGGUGAUCGGCCACACGUGGACUGAGACACGGCCCAGAUUCCUGCGGGAGGCAGCAGUAGGGAACCUUCGGAAAUGGACGGAAGUCUGGCCGAAGAACGCCGCGGUAGUGAAGAAGGUUUUCGGAUCGUAAAACUCUGUUGUUAGGGAAGCGGGAUCUAACCAGAGAGCCACGGGUAACUACGUGACAGCGGCCGGGGUAAUAC